GGGGUGCAUGUUUUUCUUUCAAAAAUGAUGCAUCUAAAUAUGUUUUGCUUGAUUACACAUGAAUAAUCUAUAUCAAGUUGCUUAGUACCUCGGAGAGGAAGGAGGAUCAGGAGGAAGAGAAUUUGAAAUUCAACAUAAAAAAGAAUGUUAAAAAUUCUUUUUACAUGCAAAAACAUAUAAAGUUUUCUAUUACAGGUGUUUUAAAAGUGCAUUUCCUUUCUUGUAGAGAUGAGGAGGGGGCCUACAGAGAGCCUGGAAACUGGGUCUGAGAAUCUCUUACUCAGGAGUUUGCAGGCCUUCAAGCUAAGACUAAAGGAAGAAAACAAGGAAAGUCAGGAUUUCUGCUCUUUCUGGAAGAUUAUAGCAGUACUCUAGCCAAAGAUAUCAACUACACCAGAAGUUGAAGGCAUUGGAAACUAUAGCCAAACAAGGUCUGAAUGCACUCCUUAAAGAAGCAAGCCUACUGAGACUGUUGAGUAUUGAUCCCAGCAGAGACACUGCUCAGUGAGGAGCAGAAAGAGAACAAAUUCAGAAGACCCUCCCCCAUAUAUUUUCCAUAGGUGGACUUUUCCUGUGUCAUUUCUAUGAUGACUCCAAUAAUGAUGUUUAUGGUUGUAAGAGACAAUGCUCAAGAUUUAUGGGGAGAAAAUUCUAUUGUAAAUUGUCUUAUACUAUUUAAUUAAAUGUCUUUGUUUUGAACUGAUUGUGUUCU
rnacentral:lncRNA from 1 species